UAGAAUUCCACGUGUAGCGGUGAAAUGCGUAGAGAUGUGGAGGAUACCGGUGGCGAAGGCGGCCUUCUGGACAGAUACUGACGCUGAGAUGCGAAAGCGUGGGGAGCAAACAGGAUUAGAUACCCUGGUAGUCCACGCUGUAAACGAUGUCGAUUUGGAGUUUGUUGCCCUGAGUGAUGGGCUCCGAAGCUAACGCGAUAAAUCGACCGCCUGGGGAGUACGGCCGCAAGGUUAAAACUCAAAUGAAUUGACGGGGGCCCGCACAAGCGGUGGAGCAUGUGGUUUAAUUCGAUGCAACGCGAAGAACCUUACCUGGUCUUGACAUCCACAGAAUCUUGCAGAGAUGCGAGAGUGCCUUCGGGAACUGUGAGACAGGUGCUGCAUGGCUGUCGUCAGCUCGUGUUGUGAAAUGUUGGGUUAAGUCCCGCAACGAGCGCAACCCUUAUCCUUUGUUGCCAGCGAUUCGGUCGGGAACUCAAAGGAGACUGCCGUUGAUAAAGCGGAGGAAGGUGGGGACGACGUCAAGUCAUCAUGGCCCUUACGACCAGGGCUGCACACGUGCUACAAUGGCGUAUACAAAGGGAGGCGACCUCGCGAGAGCAAGCGGACCUCAUAAAGUACGUCUAAGUCCGGAUUGGAGUCUGCAACUCGACUCCAUGAAGUCGGAAUCGCUAGUAAUCGUGAAUCAGAAUGU
rnacentral:rRNA from 1 species